GGUGGAGGGCGGGGACCCUCGGAAGCCAGCUGGGUGGCGAUCGCUUGUCUGCCUUGGCAGGCCCCUUGUGCAGUCUUUUCCCGGCGUGAGCGUGCAGGGAUUGAAAAGGAAUGCUUUAUGGUUCAGCAGAGAGCCACCACGCAGGAUGCACUGGGACCUGAGAACCGUCGGGCAGUCCCACGAGCUCUUUCAUGACCAGCUCCAACCGACAAGUACACGCCCCUUCGCACUCCACUAGCUAGUAAGCUGAGCUACAAGGUGUGCCAGGCACCCAGGACGCCGAUUCACCGCUUCAGUGAAGGCCCAGCUCAAAUGCCACCUCUUCCAUGAAGACUUCCGUGAUCCACAAUGAUAGCAUCUCCAGCAAUUGCUUCUAUAAUGAAUAGCAUGAGUCAUUCUGCAGGAUGUUGAUCUUCCUUUUUUUACUCCUAGACUGAAUUUUUCCACCACCUGGAUGAACAUAGCAGAAAGAACAUAGUGUUUUAGAGUCAGACACAAUAGGAAUCAGGCACUUUGGAAUCUUGGCUCUACCACCUUUGAGCUAUGUAUCCCAAGUCAAACACCCAUCAGACCUUUGCCAGGUGUCCAGCCUGGGCACUACGUUUCAGAAAAUGAUGCACAUAGAAUCCCUAACUGAAAGGAGAUCGCAGCUCAUUUGGUACAAAGUGGCUGAUUCUUUGACUGGUGAGCCACUCCCCAGGCAGGCAUAGCAUCACAGAGUUUCUGAGAAGGUACACCCUGGAUGCAAAGCAGUGUUGCUGAAAGACUCC
rnacentral:lncRNA from 1 species